CUGAAAGACACAGUAUUUAUGUACAGUUUGUUUCAUAAUGUGUUCAUAAAAAGAAAAAGAAGAGAUCAACAGAUAUACAAUAAAGUCAAAUUUAAUAAAAUGCUGCAAUACAUACUUGGAUUUUCCAAGUGUAAAAAUGUUGUUGACAAGCCGUAAACAUGCAGUGUCUUCAGUCACACACAUACAAACAAAAGUAGGCGAGGAAUGGCGCGUCAGCACCACUUAGUCAGCACUCAUCUGUCCACCACCCUCAUCAUCCUGGGGGAGGGUGGAGGUGGUUGAUGCAGGUGACCUGUCUCCCCACACGGUCCAUCAAGUCUCUGACACACUGUGCAGCCUGAGGGGGAUAAAGCACAAAGCUCCCGCUCAUCAACGAGCCCACUGUUCCCAAGAAUCUGAUCAUGUUUUUGUGUAAACACCCUGAAAGCUUCUCCUUUAAUUAUACUAAAAAAAGCCAGAGAUUAGUGCGCUGACAGUUACCUCAAUGGAGCUAACGAGAACAAACCCAGGGGUAUCUAAUACCAAAAUGAUUACCCAUGUCCCAGGACAACUACUACUGUGCCUGCAUCUCCUGUCCUCUCUUGGACGUCCACAGACUACAAGGCCAACUUCAACUCCAAUCCAGGAGGCAGGGGUAAGGCCCGGGACUCUGGUGGAGUUUGAUUGUUAUGUGAUGCCCUAAGAGUCAUCGGCUAUCCGUGCUAGCGAAAAGCUGCUAUGUUUCCAUCUAUCUGCAUAGCUGCAUAGCUAAACAUGGUUUAAUUCUAAGUUAUCUUUAACAUAACGUGAUGUCAAAAUGCCUUGACACUGAGCACAAGCAGUAUCAGAAAAAUAUCCACAUCUAAAAAAAUGACAUGAUUCUUAGAAAUGGAAAAAUGAUGCAAUUUUUCUGUAUUUUGUUACUCUGAAUCAUAAAUAAAUACUCAACACACAAACCCAUACACGUCUAUUCAGACCUUCAUUUCAGGAUGAACAGUACAAAAAAAGAGUAUAAAUAAACAUGCUUUUAUUGCAGUAUAUGCAUGUUCAAGGCUCUCAGAAAGCCUCAGUCACAGAUCAUUUGCUGGGUUGACAACACAAACACACAAACCCACCAGUCCAUCAUAACAAAUUUGAUAAACAGCCCGAGUUUGUGUACAGAGAAACACAGGAUCCACGUUCUGACAUAGCAGGCAUCAGGGCAGAUAUGAUAAACACUGCGUUUCCCUCAGACUUUUUUUUUUUUUUGUAACGGCAAUCUCAACAGCAACAGAGUGGAACCACAGUGCAUUAUCCAGUCUGAUGAAAGUUGAGAUACGGUAUGAGCUUGGGCAGCUUGUGGGGAACAUAUUCCACAUCCUUGCACAUACUGUACAGUCAUUUAUGCUGAAGGGAAGCACAUGUAAGACCUGAAAUAUGAUCUUGGAGAGACUGUCAAAAUGGCAAUAUCAGAACCAGUAUUCAUUUCCCACUCUGAUGGAAGUUAAGAUAUACCUCUAUAUGUUCAAGCAUUAUUCAAGACAGUAAUUCAUGCUCAAGAAACACAAUAGCUUAACAUGGUUAUUACUACUGUAUGAAGCUGCUGACAAAAGAAUCAUGAUAAACCUCCGUCAGUGAACCAUGGGGAAUCAGAAACAGGCUGCUCCUUGUGUUGUUAGAAAAGAUAGAUGAAAUAUGAGAUAAACGCACAGUGCAAAACAACCCCUCGACCCUGAUCACAAAGAUACUGUAUGAGCAAUGCAUGUGAUAGAGAAGAUAUCAUCGGUUUUGUGUUUGCACAGUGAAACCCAAUACUGCUUUAUAGAGGGGACAUUUAUCCUCAGGAAUGCUGGAACGAUAAAAGUGGAUUUAUGGCCAGUUAUGUAUGCUGGGGGCACUGUAAGGCACACAUUGGUGUAACCUAAA
ensembl:lncRNA